ACUUCAGCAGGCCUCAACCACCACAGGUUCUCCCGUCAAAGUUCGCGGCGCCAACAAAUGCAUCCUUCAGACCUGGAUCUGCCUGUUCAUUUGCAAAAUCUCUUUGCUGUCCCUUUCUGUUGUCUUUGGUGAGCCUCUGUGACACCAGCUCUGGCAAAGCCUUCUUUGAGGAGCAUCCCAAUGGCUGUGAUGCCCUGUCACCCUGGAGGCCAGUGGAGUGAACACAGCUGUCAGAGGCUGCUGAGGGCAGAGAUGGAGCCUGGCAAGAGCCUCUUGUGCACACACUCAUUUGCCCACCAACACUCACCGAUUGUGUAUCUGUAGGAGGCAGACUGGAUGGGUUGCUGGGAAGGGUAGAGCUUGUAGGGAAGUGGGGAAACUGCUCUUUUGUAAGGGACAGCUGCUGCUAGGCAGCCACUGAUGUCACCACAUAGGAAUGUGGGCCCUGUAUGGCCACAUGUUAUGAUUUUUUCAAGGGAAGCCAGAAAUUUGGGCUUUUACAUAAGAGUCCCUGAUAUUGUAAAGUAAUAACAAAAAUCUUCGUGCAAGCCUAACAAAAUAUGUCUGUGAGCCAGAUGUGGCUCAUGAACCAUCAGUUUUCAACCUCUGGGUAGGAGAUUGAGUUAGAUAUGAAUUUGUCUUGGGGGCUGUGGAAAGAAAAAGUUUUGUUUUAUUUUAAUAUAAAUCCCUGAUAGAGAUUUUCUUCUUUUGUUUUUAACUUUACCUGCAUAGAACUGUUUAACUACUGUCCUUGUUUAUAAUAGGCUCUCAUCACUGAUUGUGUAUGGCAUCAUUCAUUCAUUCAAUUAAAAUAUAAUGCAGUGAGUACCCUAACUCAUCACCUAGUUUGGAAACUAAGAUCUUGAUAAUCCCCUACACCCACCUGUGGCUUCCCCUUCACCCCAUCCCUCUGCCCACCCCACCAAAGUAAUCAUGGUUCUUUAUUCAUGUUCAUCACUCCCUUGCUUUCCACUUUAGAUAGUUUUCAUCUCAUCUAUAGAUUUUUUUAAAAGAGUCUGUCCAUCCAUCUACCCUCUAUCUACCUAUUAGUUUUAGUUGGGUUUUAACUUUAUAAAAUGGAUAUUUUACUGUAUGUAAUCUUUUGGGGCUUGCUUUUUUCAACUAAUAGAUGCUCCUUUGUGGUUCAUUCGUUCUGACUCCUGUGUAAUAUACCACCAUGAGAAUAUUCUACAGCAUACCCAUUCAUCCUCCUGUCUAUGGGAACUUGUCUGUUUCCAGGUUAUAUGAAUGGGGCUGCCACGAACUUCUGUUUACCUGUCCCCUGGUGCACAUGAGCGAGGAGUGAAAUGGCUGAGCUACAGGGUAUGUGAAUGUGCAAUUUUGAGUUACUGCUGAAGUGUUUUCCAAUGAGGUUGCACCAAUUUAUGGUUUCACAAUCAAUGUAUAAGAGAUCUUGUGAUCCAUAUCCUCUCAACACUUGAUAUUUUAAUUUUUGGUAAUUGAGUGGGCCUUGAUUUAUAAUUCUCUUAUUACCAUUGAGACUGAAUACAUUUUAUAUAUUUACUGCCUAUCUUUUCUGUGGUUCAUGUCUUCUGUCCAUUUGUCCCAUUGUAUUGUUUCUGCUUUUUGUAUUGAUUUCUAGGAGUUCUUUGUACAUACUGGAUACUAAUCCUUUAUUGGUUGUAUUUUGUAAUUUUUUUCACUUUCUUUAUGGUGACUUUUGAUAAACAAAUGCUUUUAAUUAUAAUGUAGUCAAAAUUGUCAUCUUUUUUCUUAUACUUUUUGCAUCUUAUUUAAGACAUCCUCUCUGACUUCAUACCUAAAAGUUAUCUAUAUUUUCUAAGAGUAUCACUUAGUGGUAAAAGUACCACUUAUCACCUCCCCCUUUAAAAAAAUCUGGUUCAGGGAACAAAUCUGAUUUUUGUUGGCCUGCUGCUAGUUGGUGGCAAAUUAGACUUGGUGUGAAGUCACAUUUCCUGACUUGAAAUAUAUUUUUGGUGUUCUAUGGAUCUUUGUCAUUUAAAAGAUGUCAUCACUGGUGUUGUUUCCAGACGAUCUCAUAUUGUACAUGCAGCCACAAAAGGGGCAGGUCCCUCCUAAAGGGAGCUUUCUAUGCAUUUUAGGGUCCCUGGAGUCCCAGGGAUUAGGCAAAGGUUUUUGGCUGAUGAAGGCAGAGAGCGGUGAGGGGCAGCUGCACCAGUUUGGCUGAAGUUCCCCAUGGGUGGGGUCACUCUGACUGCUGCAUCAUUCACUGGAAAGGUAACAACAGUAUUCUAAUGCAGCCGCCUGCUAAGCAGACAUGCGCA